ACAUGGAAAACUGCUCAUCUUUGUUCCCCUUUCCACAUAAAUGAACAAUUUGGUAUUUCUUAGUGAGUUCUUUUAAAGAUGAUCUAACGACUUCAUUAAUUGUUUUUGCGCCUAAGCUACCGCCCAUUAUCGUUAAAAUAGGGAGCUGAGAAUGAAAUCC
rfam:Virgibacillus soli strain PL205 scaffold000050, whole genome shotgun sequence.